rnacentral:misc_RNA from 1 species
GACAUAACACUUCAUGUCAAAGUUAAUUUUAAUCUUAAUUGUUCGAGGAAAUUCAAUAAGCAACCUACACUGUCGUGACUGAAUGCAAUCAGCAUGUGAAAAUACAUACAUACUAGGCGGAAGAUGCUGGCUAUAUAUAAAGAAAAAAACUCGACAUAACGUUACUGGAUUGUAGAAAUAAGUGCAAGCUGAGAGCUCUGCUAUGACAAGAUCCUCAGUAGCAUUGAGUAUACGUCCUUUACUUCUUGAGGAACACACUUUUAUUCUUACCACUGAGCGACAAUGUACCGACCUCUUGUGUUAUCAGCCUUGUGCUUCAUUGGUUUGACAGCAGAUGUUAUUAAAGGUGACGUUGAUUGCACUCCAAAAAUAACACCGACCAAAAAACGUCCUUGUCCUGCUGGAUUAAGAGAUGAUGGACUGAAUUGUUGGAAGGACCCGUACGGACGUGGUAUAGGCCGGGUACCAGACAAGUCUGAUUGUGAUGCCAGACAACGUGAUGACGGUACCAGCUGUUGGAUCGACUCUUACGGCAGAGGUGUCGGUCGUUCAGCUGACAAAUCCCCGUGUCCGUCAGGACUCCGUGAUGAUGGAACAAGCUGUUGGAAUGACGCCCAUAUUUAUGGUAAGGGGUGUUGCUGUACGCUCUGGGGAUGUUGCCACAACUGCCCAAGCGGAUACAACGACGACGGCUGUACGUGUAGAAAGACCAAUGUUGGCAUAGCCAGGUCGCUGUUUCAGAGACUAAGCUGUAAAAGUACCGAAGACAAGUACGGUUCCCGUUGCUACCCGAAAUGUGCCCCUGGCUACCACCCUGUAGGAUGCUGUAUUUGUGAACCUAAUGGUGGUCCCGGAGUAGUUCAGACCCUAGCAAAACGACAAAGCUGUCGUGAAAAUGAAGAUAUGCAUGGUCGUCUUUGUUAUCCUAAAUGCAAGGAAGGUUACCGGUCUUUUGGAUGCUGCCUAUGCAAACCAGAGGAAGGAUCGGGUAUCAAACUUAGUUACCGUGUACGGCAGUAUUGCACAGGUAAUACUAUAAAGCACAAUGGUGUAUGUGUAGAACGCGUGAGUUGCGGAAGAAAACGUAAAUGACGUCAUCACUGACGGAGCAAUUCAAAAAGAAGGUAACUGCGGUAAAAACGGGAAAAUAAUAAUAUGAAUAUUUCAUGGAAAUGAAGCUACAUACAAAUGUACAUUUUUAAAGAAAGUAUAGCCGACUGAAUACGUUCUUUGUUCGUUGUAGAUGAUACAUUUUGACCUAUGUAUUAUAUCACAACCGAAGAUCAUUUUUCAUGCAGAUAUAUUCAGAUUAUUUCAUGUAAGCGAUUUUCAGAUUUGAUUGAAAUCAGGGUACAAUAAGAAAGUGUUAAUUGAAACAAUAUAUGACUCCGUGUUCGAAUGACAUUCUUGGACUUUGCUAAUGAAUAAAGUAUCACACGUCUGGGAGUAAAGGCAUGGUAUAAACAAAGUACGUAUGAACAAAUUGAUGUAUGAUACAGAUUGCAUAGCUGUUACUUAUUUGUUUUGUUUUGGGUUUAACGCCCGUUUUUCAACAUUAUUUCAGUUAUUUAACAGCGGGCACUAAACCUAACCAGUGCCUCUAUGUUUUGUACCAGUACAAACCUGUUCUCUGCAAGUAAUUGUCAACUUCCCUACAUGAAUCAGAGGCUGAGGACGAAAGAUUUCAGACACAAUGUCUUUUAUCAAAUCGUUACGAAGAUAACAUGUAUCUGUUAUUUAAGGUUAAUCAAUAUAUCACCAAACAAUUGUUUUUUUAGUAAAUGAACAGCAUCUUGACACAUAACUUACCUGUCAAAUACAUGAUUUACUGUUCU